rnacentral:rRNA from 1 species
UACGAAGGGGGCUAGCGUUGUUCGGAAUUACUGGGCGUAAAGCGCACGUAGGCGGACAUUUAAGUCAGGGGUGAAAUCCCGGAGCUCAACUCCGGAACUGCCUUUGAUACUGGGUGUCUUGAGUGUGGAAGAGGUGAGUGGAAUUCCGAGUGUAGAGGUGAAAUUCGUAGAUAUUCGGAGGAACACCAGUGGCGAAGGGCGGCUCACUGGUCCAUUACUGACGCUGAGGUGCGAAAGCGUGGGGAGCAAACAGGAU